rnacentral:rRNA from 1 species
GCCUAUGGCCAUACCACUCUGAGAGCGCCUGAUCUCAUCUGAUCUCACAAUCUAAGCAGGGUCAGGUCCAGUUAUUACUUGGAUGGGAGACCACCUGGGAAUAUUGGGUGCUGUAGGCU